AUUGAACGCUGGCGGCAGGCUUAACACAUGCAAGUCGAGCGAGCGGCGGACGGGUGAGUAAUGUCUGGGAAACUGCCUGAUGGAGGGGGAUAACUACUGGAAACGGUAGCUAAUACCGCAUACCAUCAGAUGUGCCCAGAUGGGCUUAGCAAGUAGGUGGGGUAAUGGCUAACCUAGGCGACGAUCCCUAGCUGGUCUCAGAGGAGGACGAGCCACCUGGGAACGGAGACACGGUCCGAACUCCUAGGGGAGGAAGCAGUGGGAAAUAUUGCACAAUGGGCGAAAGCCUGAUGCAGCCAUGCCGCGUGUGUGAAGAGGGCCUUCGGGUUGUAAGGCACUUUCAGCGAGGAGGCGUUACUCGCAGAAGAAGCACCGGCUAACUCCGUGCCAGCAGCCGCGGUAAUUC
rnacentral:rRNA from 1 species